rnacentral:rRNA from 1 species
AGUGAACGCUGGCGGUAGGCCUAACACAUGCAAGUCGAACGGCAGCACAGUAAGAGCUUGCUCUUACGGGUGGCGAGUGGCGGACGGGUGAGGAAUACAUCGGAAUCUACUUUUUCGUGGGGGAUAACGUAGGGAAACUUACGCUAAUACCGCAUACGACCUACGGGUGAAAGCAGGGGAUCUUCGGACCUUGCGCGAUUGAAUGAGCCGAUGUCGGAUUAGCUAGUUGGCGGGGUAAAGGCCCACCAAGGCCACGAUCCGUAGCUGGUCUGAGAGGAUGACCAGCCACACUGGAACUGAGACACGGUCCAGACUCCUACGGGAGGCAGCAGUGGGGAAUAUUGGACAAUGGGCGCAAGCCUGAUCCAGCCAUACCGCGUGGGUGAAGAAGGCCUUCGGGUUGUAAAGCCCUUUUGUUGGGAAAGAAAAGCAGCAGGUUAAUACCCCGCUGUUCUGACGGUACCCAAAGAAUAAGCACCGGCUAACUUCGUG